rnacentral:lncRNA from 1 species
AAAAGUAGUGAACAUGAAUAUAGCAAAUUCGUUCGGAAAGAUUAGUUCUCCAUUACGGUUCUUUCAAGCGUAAGAAAAAUAAUUCGUGAAUAGUAAAAAACGUGCAUAGUGUUUUCGGCUGCUAGGUAUUAGGGGGAAACCAAGGCAAUUCGUUUACAACCCAACUGGGUCAAAUACAUAACUCAGGCCCAAAACUAACGAUCCAAAACUAAAAUAAAACUAAUACUGCAGCUUCAAACGAAAUUCUAGAAAAUAUGCGCUCCGAAUCUGACUUCGACUC